rnacentral:rRNA from 1 species
ACAACAGUUGGAAACGACUGCUAAUACCGCAUAAUGUAUCCGGGAGGCAUCUCCUGGAUACCAAAGGAGAAAUCCGCUGAUGGAUGGGCUCACGUCUGAUUAGCUAGUUGGUGAGGUAACGGCUCACCAAGGCUGCGAUCAGUAGCCGGACUGAGAGGUUGAACGGCCACAUUGGGACUGAGAUACGGCCCAGACUCCUACGGGAGGCAGCAGUGGGGAAUAUUGGGCAAUGGGCGAAAGCCUGACCCAGCAACGCCGCGUGAAGGAAGAAGGCCUUCGGGUUGUAAACUUCUUUUAAGAGGGACGAAGAAGUGACGGUACCUCUUGAAUAAGCCACGGCUAACUACGUGCCAGCAGCCGCGGUAAUACGUAGGUGGCGAGCGUUAUCCGGAUUUACUGGGUGUAAAGGGCGCGUAGGCGGGAAUGCAAGUCAGAUGUGAAAUCCAAGGGCUCAACCCUUGAACUGCAUUUGAAACUGUAUUUCUUGAGUGUCGGAGAGGUUGACGGAAUUCCUAGUGUAGCGGUGAAAUGCGUAGAUAUUAGGAGGAACACCAGUGGCGAAGGCGGUCAACUGGACGAUAACUGACGCUGAGGCGCGAAAGCGUGGGGAGCAAACAGGAUUAGAUACCCUGGUAGUCCACGCCGUAAAC